rnacentral:rRNA from 1 species
GACGAACGCUGGCGGCGUGCUUAACACAUGCAAGUCGAACGGAAAGGCCCUGCUUUUGUGUGGUGCUCGAGUGGCGAACGGGUGAGUAACACGUGAGUAACCUGCCCUUGACUUUGGGAUAACUUCAGGAAACUGGGGCUAAUACCGGAUAGGAGCUCCUGCUGCAUGGUGUGGGUUGGAAAGUUUCGGCGGUUGGGGAUGGACUCGCGGCUUAUCAGCUUGUUGGUGGGGUAGUGGCUUACCAAGGCUUUGACGGGUAGCCGGCCUGAGAGGGUGACCGGCCACAUUGGGACUGAGGUAGGGCCCAGACUCCUACGGGAGGCAGAAGUGGGGAAUAUUGCGCAAUGGGCGGGAGCCUGAUGCAGCAACGCCGGGUGCGGGAUGACGGCUUUCGGGUUGUAAACCGCUUUCGCCUGUAACGAAGCGUGAGUGACGGUAAUGGGUAAGGAAGCACCGGCUAACUACGUG